UACGGAGGUUGCAAGCGUUGUUCGGAAUUACUGGGCGUAAAGGGAGCGCAGGCGGCUCUAUAAGUCUGGAGUGAAAUCCCGGGGCUUAACCUCGGAAGUGCUUUGGAUACUGUAGGGCUUGAGUGUGCGAGAGGAAAGCGGAAUUCCAGGUGUAGCGGUGAAAUGCGUAGAUAUCUGGAGGAACACCGGUGGCGAAAGCGGCUUUCUGGCGCAUAACUGACGCUAAGGCUCGAAAGCGUGGGGAGCAAACGGGAUUAGAUACCCCGGUAGUCCACGCCGUAAACGUUGUACACUAGGUGUAGGAGGUAUCGACCCCUUCUGUGCCGAAGCUAACGCAUUAAGUGUACCGCCUGGGGAGUACGGUCGCAAGACUGAA
rnacentral:rRNA from 1 species